AUGAAAUAUACAGGAGACUCUCCUACUCAACAUUACGUUAAAAAAAGAAUCAAGGAUCAGUUCAAUGGGAAUUGGAAUGAUGAAAACACUUGUUUGAGCACAUGUGAUCCUCAUAAUAACAUAUUUGUAAUAAAUCACUGUAGACAAGUCAACUUUUUUUGA
rnacentral:rRNA from 1 species